rnacentral:rRNA from 1 species
GAUGAACGCUGGCGGCGUGCUUAACACAUGCAAGUCGAACGGGAUCCCAGGAGCUUGCUCCUGGGUGAGAGUGGCGAACGGGUGAGUAAUGCGUGACCGACCUGCCCCAUACACCGGAAUAGCUCCUGGAAACGGGUGGUAAUGCCGGAUGCUCCAGUUGACCGCAUGGUCCUCUGGGAAAGAUUCAUCGGUAUGGGAUGGGGUCGCGUCCUAUCAGCUUGAUGGCGGGGUAACGGCCCACCAUGGCUUCGACGGGUAGCCGGCCUGAGAGGGCGACCGGCCACAUUGGGACUGAGAUACGGCCCAGACUCCUACGGGAGGCAGCAGUGGGGAAUAUUGCACAAUGGGCGCAAGCCUGAUGCAGCGACGCCGCGUGCGGGAUGACGGCCUUCGGGUUGUAAACCGCUUUUGACUGGGAGCAAGCCCUUCGGGGUGAGUGUACCUUUCGAAUAGGCACCGGC